GGUCCUGUAGUUCAGAUGGAUAGAAUGCUUUGUAAUUUUCUUACCAAGAGGUCGUAGGUUCAAGUCCUACCAGGAUCG